CGCCUGUUAUACGCCACUGCACACCUUGAAGCUAAUACAUGCAAUUGCGCUUUGCUGAUUUUUUCCUUGUAUUUACACGUUUCAGUUUGUCACUUUCAUGCUACCAUGACAUCUUUUGUCGAUUCUUCUCAUGAAUAUGCAUAUUAUCGGAGAUGCCAUUUUGAUUUUGUAUGAAGAACUGACGUUCGAGGGAAUGAAUGACGCUUAUUUUGUUUCAAGCUCGCAAGGAAGCACCAUCAAAGAAAUAAAAUAAAAUGAGGCAGUGAGCCUGCCUCACAAUAUAAUUUUCAAGCGGCUUUUCUGGUGUCGGUGGAGUCUUGUAUCAAUCCUUGAACAUACCCGAGUCUUCGAUCCAUCAGUAGCAAAAGUCAAGGAACAGCACUUGUCGGAGGCAUGGUCUCAGCGACCAAGAGAAGGAAGACAGUAAGAGAGAGAAGAACCGUUAUACCAAGACUGAUCUUUUCACCCGAUUCUGGAGGCAAGAAGAAGCUGAGUAGCGCCACCAUCGACACGAAUGUGCAAGGUGAUUCAACAUAGGAAAGACGCCAAAAUUGGCUGCGACACCGGUGGCUUGUUUGUGAAGGGGACUCGAGUCAUGGAAUUAAAGGAACAAAUUACUGAGGGGAGUGAAGUGAGAAGAAAUAGGUGAACACCUAUCAAGGACAAAAGCACCCCCCCCCCCGACCAUGCCAUCUUUUCCUUCACUCACACUCUAUCAUUACCCCUAUAUAUAAAGUGAGCUUGCAUGUCCAUUUUAUUACCAUCGAUGUUUCUACGUGUUCCGGACCUGUUUGUGACUAUAAAUGAAUUUCUUUAGAAUUGUUAAUUUGUGUAAGAACGAUCGAUACUUAAGAUACAUGACUUGAUCAGUCCUAGGUCAUUAAGGAUGUGACCUUGAAUGCCCCGUUGACUGGCUUUGAUGCUCCCUCUCAUAGGCUUAAGAUGUGCCCUUUUUAUUUUCCACUUCUGUGUUGUAACAUAGAAUGUGCCCCACUUAAAAUGCAACCUUGUAUUAAAAAAAAAAUUGUAACUUAACACCUGAAGAUAGAUCUGAAAAAAAGAAAUAGCUUAUCAUUAUCCCCCUUGUGAUGAAACGUGGAUCGAAUAAAAUUGAAUUGAUAUUUAUUUUCCAAGAGAAUAUCAGAAUAAACAGAACUGAACGUGGUUUCAUUAUCAUACAUAAUAUACGAUGGUUUCAUUAUAUGCACGAUUUUACAUGUCUCUUAAAUUAUUGUCAGAAUUUGUAAAAUAGUGAUGUUAUUUGAACAAAAAAGGGAGAUUACUAAGGAAUAGCAAAUGAUCAGUGUUAACACGCAGGUCCUUAGCAUCCGGAAGAAAAUGGGAGGAAAUUGUCAUUUGAUGAACAUUUAAAAUGAAUGUGCAAAUGAAGUAUAUAUGAUCAUGUGCAGUGAAUAAAAAGAUGAAAUGAAAAUAUAGCAGUGGAUAUGAAUAAGUAUAUGUUGUGAUCGCAAUAAUACAUUGACAUUGGCAAGGCUAACAACCGUGCAGUUAAACCAAUCUGUAACAUCAUGAUCAUGUAGCAUUCUUUUGAUUUCGGCUCUAGUAUAUGAAUUAAUAUUAUGCAUCGAAUAAUGCAACGUAUAAAGUAAGGACGAUAUUAUUUUUCAGCCCCAAAAUGUGUUUCCAGUAUAUUGACCAUCAAAAAAUAUAUGAAUCCCAUUUUUUUUUAUACAACGAAGGUAACAUCAGGUACACCACACGGGGGGAGGGGGUUAGAAUAAAAACGGAUCAAAUGAUAACGAAUAGUUUGCCAAAUGAAUUCAAAAGUGGCCAUGGAUAUAUAUAAAUAAUGCCUCUGACUGAUGAAGUAAAUCGAAGGUGUGGUGCGACAAAAGAACUUGUGCUUUUAGUAUGGAGAGUAUUUUAGCGAAAUGCGAAAGAUAAUGAAAUAUG
rnacentral:lncRNA from 1 species